rnacentral:rRNA from 1 species
GAUGAACGCUAGCGGCAGGCCUAACACAUGCAAGUCGAGGGGUAACAGGAAAGCUUGCUUUUGCUGACGACCGGCGCACGGGUGCGUAACGCGUAUGCAACCUACCUCAUACAGGAGAAUAGCCCUUGGAAACGAGGAUUAAUACUCCAUGGUAUCAUUCUUUCGCAUGUUAGAAUGAUUAAAGAAUUUCGGUAUGAGAUGGGCAUGCGUCCCAUUAGCUUGUUGGUGAGGUAACGGCUCACCAAGGCAACGAUGGGUAGGGGGCCUGAGAGGGUGGUCCCCCACACUGGUACUGAGACACGGACCAGACUCCUACGGGAGGCAGCAGUGAGGAAUAUUGGUCAAUGGAGGAAACUCUGAACCAGCCAUGCCGCGUGAAGGAUGACGGCCCUAUGGGUUGUAAACUUCUUUUAUAUGGGAAGAAACUUAUCUACGUGUAGAUAACUGACGGUACCAUACGAAUAAGGAUCGGCUAACUCCG